rnacentral:lncRNA from 1 species
AGGCAUUGAGGCAGCCAGCGCAGGGGCUUCUGCUGAGGGGGCAGGCGGAGCUUGAGGAAACCGCAGAUAAGUUUUUUUCUCUUUGAAAGAUAGAGAUUAAUACAACUACUUAAAAAAUAUAGUCAAUAGGUUACUAAGAUAUUGCUUAGCGUUAAGUUUUUAACGUAAUUUUAAUAGCUUAAGAUUUUAAGAGAAAAUAUGAAGACUUAGAAGAGUAGCAUGAGGAAGGAAAAGAUAAAAGGUUUCUAAAACAUGACGGAGGUUGAGAUGAAGCUUCUUCAUGGAGUAAAAAAUGUAUUUAAAAGAAAAUUGAGAGAAAGGACUACAGAGCCCCGAAUUAAUACCAAUAGAAGGGCAAUGCUUUUAGAUUAAAAUGAAGGUGACUUAAACAGCUUAAAGUUUAGUUUAAAAGUUGUAGAUAAAUUUAAACCUGAAAAGUAGGAAGCAGAAGAAAAAAGACAAGCUAGGAAACAAAAAGCUAAGGGCAAAAUGUACAAACUUAGAAGAAAAUUGGAAGAUAGAAACAAGAUAGAAAAUGAAAAUAUUGUCAAGAGUUUCAGAUAGAAAAUGAAAAACAAGCUAAGACAAGUAUUGGAGAAGUAUAGAAGAUAGAAAAAUAUAAAGCCAAAAAUUGGAUAAAAUAGCACUGAAAAAAUGAGGAAAUUAUUGGUAACCAAUUUAUUUUAAAAGCCCAUCAAUUUAAUUUCUGGUGGUGCAGAAGUUAGAAGGUAAAGCUUGAGAAGAUGAGGGUGUUUACGUAGACCAGAACCAAUUUAGAAGAAUACUUGAAGCUAGAAGGGGAAGUUGGUUAAAAAUCACAUCAAAAAGCUACUAAAAGGACUGGUGUAAUUUAAAAAAAACUAAGGCAGAAGGCUUUUGGAAGAGUUAGAAGAAUUUGGAAGGCCUUAAAUAUAGUAGCUUAGUUUGAAAAAUGUGAAGGACUUUCGUAACGGAAGUAAUUCAAGAUCAAGAGUAAUUACCAACUUAAUGUUUUUGCAUUGGACUUUGAGUUAAGAUUAUUUUUUAAAUCCUGAGGACUAGCAUUAAUUGACAGCUGACCCAGGUGCUACACAGAAGUGGAUUCAGUGAAUCUAGGAAGACAGCAGCAGACAGGAUUCCAGGAACCAGUGUUUGAUGAAGCUAGGACUGAGGAGCAAGCGAGCAAGCAGCAGUUCGUGGUGAAGAUAGGAAAAGAGUCCAGGAGCCAGUGCGAUUUGGUGAAGGAAGCUAGGAAGAAGGAAGGAGCGCUAACGAUUUGGUGGUGAAGCUAGGAAAAAGGAUUCCAGGAAGGAGCGAGUGCAAUUUGGUGAUGAAGGUAGCAGGCGGCUUGGCUUGGCAACCACACGGAGGAGGCGAGCAGGCGUUGUGCGUAGAGGAUCCUAGACCAGCAUGCCAGUGUGCCAAGGCCACAGGGAAAGCGAGUGGUUGGUAAAAAUCCGUGAGGUCGGCAAUAUGUUGUUUUUCUGGAACUUACUUAUGGU